rnacentral:rRNA from 1 species
GACGAACGCUGGCGGCGUGCCUAAUACAUGCAAGUAGAACGCUGAAGGAGGAGCUUGCUUCUCUGGAUGAGUUGCGAACGGGUGAGUAACGCGUAGGUAACCUGCCUGGUAGCGGGGGAUAACUAUUGGAAACGAUAGCUAAUACCGCAUAAGAGUAGAUGUUGCAUGACAUUUGCUUAAAAGGUGCAAUUGCAUCACUACCAGAUGGACCUGCGUUGUAUUAGCUAGUUGGUGGGGUAACGGCUCACCAAGGCGACGAUACAUAGCCGACCUGAGAGGGUGAUCGGCCACACUGGGACUGAGACACGGCCCAGACUCCUACGGGAGGCAGCAGUAGGGAAUCUUCGGCAAUGGACGGAAGUCUGACCGAGCAACGCCGCGUGAGUGAAGAAGGUUUUCGGAUCGUAAAGCUCUGUUGUAAGAGAAGAACGAGAGUGAGAGUGGAAAGUUCACACUGUGACGGUAUCUUACCAGAAAGGGACGGCUAACUACGUG